GACUACUCCCACUGGAGAAGACAUUUCUGCUGCACCUCUUUCUUUAAUGCUGUCACGGAUGAUCAGAGCAAAACUAAUAAAUGUGAAAUCCUCUCUCCACACUCAAGAUAUCAAGAAUUUAGGCAAGGAAGAGCUGAUCAUGUGUAUACACCUGGAGUAUGUAUACAAGUGCACAUGUGUGAAAGAGAGAAAAUUACAAAACAGAUCACGUGGAAGAAUGAAUAGCUACUUGAAGAUACUCUCCUUCCUUUCUCGGUACACACAACUUAUGUUGGAGGAUCUGUCCACUUGCUGCUCUGGGGAAAAUGAAGUUCUUUUCCCCAAACAAAGCCCCCCCAACAGCCCAUCACUGCCAUCCCUCUGAUGAGAAUGGUGGGGAAUCCUGAGGAAC
ensembl:lncRNA